UACAGGGGGUGCAAGCGUUACUCGGAAUUACUGGGCGUAAAGGGUGCGUAGGUGGUUUGUUAAGUCUGCUGUGAAAUCCCCGGGCUCAACCUGGGAAUGGCAGUGGAUACUGGCAAGCUAGAGUGCGGUAGAGGGUAGUGGAAUUCCCGGUGUAGCAGUGAAAUGCGUAGAGAUCGGGAGGAACACCAGUGGCGAAGGCGGCUACCUGGACCAGCACUGACACUGAAGCACGAAAGCGUGGGGAGCAAACAGG
rnacentral:rRNA from 1 species